rnacentral:lncRNA from 1 species
AUCUGUAUGAUUUACAGAAGUCUCCUUUAUACGAACAUGGAAUUGUUUUCUGCUACAGUUUUCCUCUCAGAUGCCUUGGGAUUGUUAUGUGAGUUUGCACAAGGCCUGACAUUCUUGAAAGAGUCUUAACUGGCUGGACUCUUGCCUUUCUCCCUACGCUUCCCGGGAAGUGCUGUGCCUCGGGGCAUGCGCACGGCGAGUGACAGAGCCGGGGCACGUGGAGCGCUGGGAGCGCUGCCGCCCGCGUCUGGAGGCUCGAAAAGCAGGAAGGGUCCUGUGCAAAGACCUAGUGGGUACUGCUGCCAUCGCCUUGAUAACAUUGCACUCAUGGAAUCAUGCCUGCAGUUGAAGAGCAUUCAGUUUUGCUGAAGGUACCUCAGAAUUGACUUCUUCUUAAUACAGUGACCAUACAGGGUCAAAGAAAAAUGGUCUGCUUCUCAAUAUUUGAGUUUGUUGUCUAUAACAGCAUGGUUUUCUGUGAAAAGUGAAAGAAGAAUCUUUCUAGACAGUUUAAAGC